rnacentral:rRNA from 1 species
GUGAAGGGCAGUGAGAUCCAUGGGAGUGUGACCAGCAUGGAACGCGUUGGCAGGGAGGGGAAGUAGGAGUAGGUGGUGGCGCCGCCGCCGACGUACUUGCGGAUGUCAGCGUUGAAGGAGACAGGGAAGGGCGCCGAUGAGACGGCUAUGAGGAGGGGGAGGUGGUUGUGGUCGGAGGUGGGGCUGCUGCCGCAGGAAAGCGAGGACGCAACAGAGCCGUUGGGGCACGAACGGCGCCGACGGCGAACUUGUGAAGUCAACACCGGAGAGGGCUGCAUCGACAACCUACUUGCCAAGGACCAAGUCAGGCAGACUGGGAAGGGGGCCGGGAGGUGGAGACGACGAGGAUUAGAGGGUCCUGGUGGUGGUCGGCGGUGAGGCUUGAGAUUCGUUGGGGGACGGAGCGCACCGACAGCAGCGAUUUCUCCAGAUCGUUCCGUGGCCUUCUUUUUGUCCUG